AUUGAACGCUGGCGGCAUGCUUUACACAUGCAAGUCGAACGGUAACAGGCCUUCGGGCGCUGACGAGUGGCGAACGGGUGAGUAAUGCAUCGGAACGUGCCCAGUCGUGGGGGAUAACUAUCCGAAAGGAUAGCUAAUACCGCAUACGAUCUGCGGAUGAAAGCGGGGGACCUUCGGGCCUCGCGCGAUUGGAGCGGCCGAUGUCAGAUUAGGUAGUUGGUGGGGUAAAGGCUCACCAAGCCAACGAUCUGUAGCUGGUCUGAGAGGACGACCAGCCACACUGGGACUGAGACACGGCCCAGACUCCUACGGGAGGCAGCAGUGGGGAAUUUUGGACAAUGGGCGCAAGCCUGAUCCAGCAAUGCCGCGUGCAGGAAGAAGGCCUUCGGGUUGUAAACUGCUUUUGUACGGAACGAAACGGCUCUGGUUAAUACCCGGGGCUAAUGACGGUACCGUAAGAAUAAGCACCGGCUAACUACGUGCCAGCCGCCGCCGUAACAC
rnacentral:rRNA from 1 species